rnacentral:lncRNA from 1 species
GUAUACUUCCACCAUGGGAUGCGACGUGUGUUUAUGUUGAUGUGUUUAGAGGGUGAAUUGUUUCAAAACAGUAUUCGUUACGAAAAUGAGAUAUGCUAUAUCAUUGAAGAAUAUACGAAAAGUUAUAUCAGCCAGAAUUCAAUAUUUUUCGUCUGAAAAACAAAGUGAAUCGAUUGCUACAGAACAUACAAAUGAAGUUUAUAUAAACGAAAACUUAAAGACUGAUAAGACCACUCGUCCACGUUAUGUUAGUGAAGAUUUGCUUGAAUUCGACAAGACCGUGAACAAGAGGUGAUUAUGAAAUAGGAAAUACGACAUUAUUUUUUUAGGCCUGUUGUUCCUAAUAGGCUGCAGUCCAAAAACUGAUUUUCUUACUUCCUAACAGUAAAUCAUUUAGAGAAAUAGAAGUUUAUACCUACCUAUAUAAUAUUUGGUACUUUACAGUUAUCUUAAGGAUACAGUAUAUAAUUGUAAAGUCAUUGAUGCCUGUGUGACAACUAUGUAUCUACUUCAUCCCAUUUAUCAUCCCAUUCACCAUGCAAUGUGAUCAAAAAUAACUUCACAUUUUGAUUCAAAGCUUACGGUUUCUCUUAUGUGGUUAGCAAGCUAACCUUAGACAUUUCUCGUGCUAUGUGCUCUAAAUGAAGAUAUAUAUAAUAGAGAUGUGCGAUACAGAACAAAAUAUCGUAUCGGCGAUAUUCCGAUACGGAUUUUCA